rnacentral:rRNA from 1 species
GACAGAGGUGCCGAGCGUUAGGCGGAGUCACUGGGCUUAAAGCGUGUGUAGGCGGACCGUUAAGUACCUUGUGAAAUCCCCCGGCUCAACCGGGGAACGGCUGGGUAUACUGGCGGUCUUGAGCCAUCCAGGGGCAGUCGGAACAGACGGUGGAGCGGUGAAAUGCGUAGAUAUCGGGAGGAACACCUGUGGCGAAAGCGGCUCACUGGACCACAACUGACGCUGAUGCACGAAAGCUAGGGGAGCAAACAGG